rnacentral:lncRNA from 1 species
ACCUCCUGGCUUCUCAAGAACAGCUCUGGAAAUGUCUGAACUCCCUUGAAAACAGAAUGCCCAUUUUUUCGAGGAGCUCUCUCUCCACGGCUCGUCCCCUUAGAGGUUCUGGCCUUCUUGGAUAGAUCCUCACUGGGGCUCCUUCGAUGGUGAGUUUUCAGACGAGGAGAAUCUCUUUUUACUUCAGGUAUCCUCCUCAGAUGCUCCA